rnacentral:rRNA from 1 species
UACGUAGGGGGCGAGCGUUGUCCGGAUUUAUUGGGCGUAAAGCGCGGGCAGGCGGCCCCGUAAGUCGGCCGUGAAAGCGCCGGGCUCAACUCGGCGAGGACGGGCGAGACUGCAGGGCUUGAGAGAGGUAGAGGGCGGUGGAAUUCCGGGUGUAGUGGUGGAAUGCGCAGAUAUCAGGAGGAACACCGGUGGCGAAGGCGGGUCUCUGGGCCGAUACUGACGCUGAGGAGCGAAAGCGUGGGGGAGCGAACAGG